CUUGCUUCUCUUGAGAGCGGCGGACGGGUGAGUAAUGCCUAGGAAUCUGCCUGGUAGUGGGGGAUAACGUCCGGAAACGGACGCUAAUACCGCAUACGUCCUACGGGAGAAAGCAGGGGACCUUCGGGCCUUGCGCUAUCAGAUGAGCCUAGGUCGGAUUAGCUAGUUGGUGGGGUAAUGGCUCACCAAGGCGACGAUCCGUAACUGGUCUGAGAGGAUGAUCAGUCACACUGGAACUGAGACACGGUCCAGACUCCUACGGGAGGCAGCAGUGGGGAAUAUUGGACAAUGGGCGAAAGCCUGAUCCAGCCAUGCCGCGUGUGUGAAGAAGGUCUUCGGAUUGUAAAGCACUUUAAGUUGGGAGGAAGGGCAGUAAAUUAAUACUUUGCUGUUUUGACGUUACCGACAGAAUAAGCACCGGCUAACUCUGUGCCAGCAGCCGCGGUAAUACAGAGGGUGCAAGCGUUAAUCGGAAUUACUGGGCGUAAAGCGCGCGUAGGUGGUUCGUUAAGUUGGAUGUGAAAUCCCCGGGCUCAACCUGGGAACUGCAUUCAAAACUGACGAGCUAGAGUAUGGUAGAGGGUGGUGGAAUUUCCUGUGUAGCGGUGAAAUGCGUAGAUAUAGGAAGGAACACCAGUGGCGAAGGCGACCACCUGGACUGAUACUGACACUGAGGUGCGAAAGCGUGGGGAGCAAACAGGAUUAGAUACC
rnacentral:rRNA from 1 species